rnacentral:rRNA from 1 species
UGGGGAAUCUUGGACAAUGGGGGCAACCCUGAUCCAGCCAUGCCGCGUGAGUGAUGAAGGCCUUAGGGUCGUAAAGCUCUUUCGCCUGUGAAGAUAAUGACGGUAGCAGGUAAAGAAACCCCGGCUAACUCCGUGCCAGCAGCCGCGGUAAUACGGAGGGGGUUAGCGUUGUUCGGAAUUACUGGGCGUAAAGCGCACGUAGGCGGACCAGAAAGUUGGGGGUGAAAUCCCGGGGGCUCAACCCCGGAACUGCCUCCAAAACUAUUGGUCUAGAGUUCGAGAGAGGUGAGUGGAAUUCCAAGUGUAGAGGUGAAAUUCGUAGAUAUUUGGAGGAACACCAGUGGCGAAGGCGGCUCACUGGCUCGAUACUGACGCUGAGGUGCGAAAGUGUGGGGAGCAAACAGGAUUAGAUACCCUGGUAGUCCACGCCGU